rnacentral:rRNA from 1 species
UCUAGCAGCCAUAUCACCCUGCAACUCACAACUGGUAACCCACUGAAGCUCAGCAGGUGUGAGCCUGGUCAGUACCUGGAUGGUAGACCUCCUGGGAAAAACUACAUUUGCUGCAAGAA